GCCUUCGUGGUGUAGUGGUCAGCACGCUGAGCGCCUAUUCCAGAGGUCCGUGGUUCGAGUCCCGGCGAAGGCG
rnacentral:tRNA from 1 species